CAAUAGCGUAUAUUAAAGUUGUUGCAGUUAAAAAGCUCGUAGUUGGAUUUGUGGCGUACGGUGUGUUCCGGGCACUUGUUGUCUGAGUAACCUGCUGUUGCCAUCCUUGGGUGGAACCUGUGUGGCAUUAGGUUGUCGUGCAGGGGAUGCCCAUCAUUUACUGUGCAAAAAUUAGAGUGUUCAAAGCAGGCUUAUGCCGUUGAAUAUAUUAGCAUGGAAUAAUGAGAUAGGACUUUUUUGCUAUUUUGUUGGUUUGCGCAAAGAGGUAAUGAUUAAUAGGGACAGUUGGGGGUAUUCGUAUUCCAUUGUCAGAGGUGAAAUUCUUGGAUUUUUGGAAGACGAACUACUGCGAAAGCAUUUACCAAGGAUGUUUUCAUUAA
rnacentral:rRNA from 1 species